AGUGAACGCUGGCGGUAGGCCUAACACAUGCAAGUCGAACGGCAGCACAGUAAGAGCUUGCUCUUACGGGUGGCGAGUGGCGGACGGGGGAGGAAGACAUCGGAAUCUACUUUGUCGUGGGGGAUAACGUAGGGAAACUUACGCUAAUACCGCAUACGACCUACGGGUGAAAGCAGGGGAUCUUCGGACCUGGCGCGAGUGAAUGAGCCGAUGUCGGAUUAGCUAGUUGGCGGGGUAAAGGCGCACGAAGGCGACGAUCUGUAGCUUGUCUGAGAGGAUGAUCAGCAGCACUGGAGCGAGGACACGCAGCAACAUCCGACGGGAGGCAGCAGUGGAGAACAUUCGACAAGGAGCGGUAGCCUAACCCAGGCAUACCGCGUGGGUGAAGAAGGCCUCGGGUUGUAAAGCCCUUUUGUUGGGAAAGAAAGGCAGCACGUUAAUACCCCGCUGUUCUGACGGUACCCAAAGAAUAAGCCCCGGCUAACUUCGUG
rnacentral:rRNA from 1 species